AGGUUUGGAUAUAUUUUAGAUAUCUAAUUUCAUAUGUUAUAAUUUUUAAUAGUAAAAUAAUUUGUUCAAUUGAUUCACCAAACGAAAUAAUUUAAAAAUGACAUUUUCCGUUUGGAGGUAGCAGCUAGCAACACUUGGCAAAUGGCGGGAUUCUGAGCGGAGCACCGUACCGUGCGGUCGUGCAAGCGAGAUUGUGUUGAAAAGAAUAAAGAUUGAUAGUCUGUUGAAAGUGUUGACGUUUUCUUGGAGAGGAGUCCUAUACCUUGGAGUGGAGUUCUUACAUUUCAGAAGUGGGAUACAGCGCAAAUACUGCUUGCCAGACCAGAGCAUGGAUGCCACCGGCAGCUGGACUCAGCACAGGCUGGAGAUGCCGGAAAGAGAGUCGCCGCGAAGCAACCACACUGGCAGUCGAAGCGGAAGUCGCAGUCGACGUCUGGGAGAGCAAGAGAGGAGCGCGAGCCAGCAAAGAUCAGCGCCGCACUGCCACGAUGGGCACCAGGAUGUCAACCAGGAACAGCAACCAUCACGAAGGUUAUGUAGUCCAGUUUUUACUACUAACGAUCUUUUAAAGCUACUAAAUUCCGUUAAACGUGUACCGUCGCAUCGCCGUCUCAACCCAUGGCUCAAGGCGCACCAUCGAAACAUUUCGAUUUUAAAAACAUAUUGAAUGAUUUUAAUCCGGCUACUAAAAAUCAACGCAUGGAUGUUUGGCUUAGAAAGGUGAACGAGUGCGCCUCGGCCGAUGGUUGGGACGACAAAUGACGUACCGACGACCAAACUUGAUAUGAGAGUUUAAACUCUAAACUAUUUACGUGGCGGGAGUGUCAGGAGAAAUUACUUAGUGCAUUCCAUGUGAACAAAUUAUGGUCAAACCCUGGAGGACAUGCUUAAUAACUUCCCUGUCCCAUGAGUCAUAUGUGAUACACACCGAUUGUCUUACUAUUGUCUGCUUCGUAGACUGUGAAGUGGUUAAACGUAGAAGUAGAUGCUACGAACGAACCUAUUUAUGAUUAAUUAUUAUGAAAAACUUGCCGAAUCAGUGCGAUAUCACGGGAAAACGAGCUGUAGAUUGCAUUAGCAUUACCCACAGAAUCAGUGAUCGGACUGUGAAAUCUAAUGCACUUGCUUUGCGAGAUACCUGACCAGUUACUUCAGUCCUUGAUUAACAAUAAAGAAUUUUAAUUGUAAGCAGAAGAAGGACAUCCUUACCUUCAAUGUCCUAAGCCUUUUAUCCGAUGCGAUAAAUGGAAAAGUAGGUCACAAAACCGACAACUGUUUCAGUAAACAGGAUAGAUCUGAGCUUUUUUUUAUUAUUAUUCGUGUCAACUAUGGUUUAUUUUUAAAUAGUGUAUAUAUUGAAAUUAACGAAAAUUAAGUUAGAACGCCAAAAAUAUAACUAGAAAAAAAAAAUAUCUGAAUACAUGAUGGAAAAAGCUGUGUGAUCACUUCCAGAAUGUGACUCUAUUGAGAAUGGUAUCAACAAAAAAUUACACAAAGUAUUAUUAAUAUUUUUAUUACUAAUUAAAGAAAACAAUCUUGUCAAAAGAAAAAAAAAACACAAAUUACGACAAUUCUUUGAACGUUUUAUAACAAAAAUCAAACUUUCAGUUAUGUGACUUUUGAUGCACAUCGGAUAUUAAUUUUUAAAAUAUUAAGCUAUAAUAAAAAUACAUUUCUGCAGUGAUCCCUAGUUAUGAAUCAAAAUUAAAUUCCUGUCCAUCGAGCGAAAACAGAACAAAACAGUGUUUUAUAAAGAGUUUUAAAUAUUUUUUGUUUAAAAUAGAAAACAGGGACAGUCACACCACUGAACGCCUGAAAAGGAUAAAGCUUCAUCUACAUGGACGCUAUUAUUAUAAUUAUGUAAUAUUCCAGAUCAACAUUUAAUAAUAAUCAAGAAAUACUAUAUCUUUUAAAUAAUGGAACAAAUAAUUACAAAAAAAUAUUGUACCUCGUUUACAUAAAGAUUGUAAACAUGAAUAAAAUAAAAUUGAUCCCCACAGAAAACUAUUAUUCUGAAUUUCUGAAACAACAUCACUGUUUCCAUGUAUACUUAACUUUAUAGGAUCAGUCAUGUUGUGACUUUGAGCUCAGCCCGUAUGUGACCAUAGAUUUGGUCACAAAACGGAAGUCACAUUUUCAUACUUGCCGAUUAAAAAGAAAAUUAUAAAUAAUUAUUUGUGGUUCUUUUCCAUUUGAUGUCAUUUUAAAAAGUAACCGAAAGAAAUGGCGGUUUCUAGAAAUAAACAGCAAUCCUAAUAUUUGGUUACGCUGUAGUAAAAUUCAAACACAUAUCUGAACAUAAAUUCCGUUCUUGUAUAACAAAACGUCUUCGUUCCUCAAAGUCCUUUUGACUUUAAUAGUAAAGUAAAAGGCAGUAAUAUGUUUAAGUAGUUCCUGUUUCAAAGUAUUAGGACCCAAAAAUUGUGGCUUAAAGUACUAUAAAAUGCGGUCACAAUACUGAAUGUUCAGGGUGGAUCAAAAUUUUAUACGUUUUUUUAUGUAAAUAAGCCAGAAAUGAAUUACAAAUGAUUUGAUGAAUAUUAGUAAAUGAUGACGAAUAACCUAUUAAUAUUUUUAUAAAAUGAUUAUCGAUAUUUUGUUUUCUUUUAUUGAUGCGAGAUAAGGAAUUGUCCAUAAAUUGAUUUUUGUCAUUGAUUGUUUAAUAUCAGGUGGGUACCAAGAUUUUAUUCCUUAGAAAUGUCAAAAGGUUAAUAUUUAAGUUUACUUACUUCCUUUUAUGUAUUGUUAUGUGUUGUUAAGCAUUGUUAGUUAUCCAUGAUAUUCCUUUGAAUUCGAAUGAAGUCUUUAAAUUAAGAUGACACAUGUAAUUGAUUGAGUAAUGAUGAUCUUUUGAAUUAUGCGAGAAAUGAAUGGUUCGCUAUUUAGAUUGAGUGUCUGUGAGAAAUGAAGGGUUCACAUGACAAUCAAUUUUCAGUUGGAUAUGACCUUGCGAUAAAUGAAUGACUCGUUUUGGUCAUAUAAAUGUGAGAAAUGAAGGGUUCACAUUUUAUAGUCUCGCGAGAAACGAAAGUUUUGUGGGAGCAUAAAUUAUUAAGUAGGCUGUAAAUAGUUUAUUGUCUCAAAAAAGAUACACACAAGAGAAAACACACAUCAGUGAUUACAAAUUUUCACAUGUACAAUAAUUUCGUGAACACUGGUACCCAAAGUAAGAUUUAACUUGUGGUAUGGGUACAGGGGCUCUCGUUAUUAAUUUCCACAGAUAGUUAACGUGAAAGUUAAUCGUAGUGAAUCGUAGAUUAGAUGUAGAAAUGGUAUGGUGGGAUCGCUGGGUUCCGUGGAUCUAGGUUUAACAUGAGUUGAGGUAAACGCGGUUGUUUCUUGCAAGGUCGUUAACGAUAAUUUGUUAGACACACCAAUUCUUAUCGGGCAGACGUUUACCGAGCAGCCACUUCUAGUUAUUUAGAAGGAUUUUAAUGAGCUUAAAUUCUCAAACCACCGAAAUGUUCGGAUGAUAGCAAUAAUGAUAUAACGGUUACAGUCAGUAACUCUUUUAAAGUAGAGUCACCGUUUCACGCACUCCAUUUAGACCACUUGGGGCCUUUUGUGAACUCAACAUUUGGGUAUACUCACAUACUGGUGGUAGCUGAUGUUUUAACAAUAUCGUAUUUAUUAGAGCCGUUAGGAACACUAAUACACAGAAUGUUAUCAAGGUCUUAAAUGAUAUAUUUGAUACUUUUAGGACGCCCAUCCGUUAAUAAGUAAUCGCCGUAGUUGUUUUACUUCACAUGCGUUUAAAAGGCUUUGUCUGGAUAAGGGCGUGAAAAAUGUUUGAACGCGGUGGCUUAUCCGCGCUCAGACGGACGAGUGGAGCGAUAUGGUCGCGCCAAAUUGGAGGCAUUGAAGGCGCAAAACGUGGGCAGUGACGAAAGAGAAUGGGAUAGUAAGGUGGGGAAAAUCCAGUGGGGUCAUAAUGAUAGCUUGCAGAAGACCAUAGGUCCGAGGAGGUGAAUGAAUGGUGAAAUGAAUCCCAUAUUAAACGAAGUAGCCCGGGCUUAUGAUGUUGAUCAUGAUAUUGAAUUAGUAUUAUGAUAAGAGUGGAAAACAAAAGGAGUAUUAUGAUAAGAAUGGAAAGCAGGCUGGAAUUUAUAGUAAAGGAUUUGGUCAAGUUACUAAAAUGAAUUUGCAGAAUGACGGUAAAAGUUUAAAGCUUUUAGAGUUACGAAGGUCUUAGGCAACAACAGGUAGAGACUGGUUCCUGUCCUAGUACUUGAGCGUACGCGUACGCCUAGUGUGGGCGCAACGCUGCCGUGGCUGUGGAUUGAAUGCGUCUUUUGAUUCAUGCGGAGUCACUGGGGGUGAACGAUGACGGCAUUGAUUGAGUGUAUAAAUCGAGUAAUGAUGGUAGUGGUGAUGAAAUGUAGAUAAGCGUUUUAAAAGAUAUAAUAUUAUGUGAUUAUUUAUUGCGAAACAGAUGUAUAGAUUAGAUUAAAUUAGUUAUUUUCUUAUAAUACAUUCACAGAUUAUUUUGAUUUAAUUGUUUUUACCGGAUACUUGUUCAUUGUAUGAAUUUAGUAUUGUUACAGAUAUCGCUCCUCGACUCUAAGAAGUGAUUGGUUUAAAGAUUCGAGAGAGAAAUUCGUCACGAGUCGUCGAGAAUUGACUGGUUCGAAGCACAUGCAGAUGAGUUUUUGGUGUAAGUCCUUUAGAAAUGAAUGGUUAAAGGCAUUCUAGUUUCUCCUUCAGAAAUGAAUGGUUGAAGGAGUUCGUCUAGUUGAAAACCUCAGAAAUGAAUGGUUGAGGGAUAGGAAGUCCUCGAGAAUUGAUUGGUUCGAGGCACAUGAUGAGUUUAUGUUGUAAUUCCUUCAGAAAUGAAUGGUUGAAGGAGUUAGCAUUAGUGUUCUGACUGUGGUGUCUCAAUAUAUUUAUGCCAAUAUAAUAUAUGUAAGGCUUAUUAAUGUUAAUGAUUAUUUCACAGAUACAGUGUUGUUUUUUUUGCUUUAAUUUUUGUGAUAUAAUUUGAAACGAUGUUGAAUUGUAUAAGUUGUAAUUCAAUUAUUAUUAAAUUGUAAUAGACAGCUGUGUUGCUGGGAAGUUUGUUCUUCGCCACUUCUUCUUCCCAGCCAUAACACUAGGAAGUGGUGAAAGGGGGGCGUUUUGGGGGUGCUGUCCUUUUAUGAAUUUUGUAAAAUAUCGCUAUUGGCCAAGUGUAAGGUUAUAUAGCCCACCUAGUACGUGUAUGGGGACAUACACGAGGUCAGGAUGGACGAGUGUAAGGUUUGGAUAUAUUUUAGAUAUCUAAUUUCAUAUGUUAUAAUUUUUAAUAGUAAAAUAAUUUGUUCAAUUGAUUCACCAAACGAAAUAAUUUAAAAAUGACAUUUUCCGUUUGGAGGUAGCAGCUAGCAACACUUGGCAAAUGGCGGGAUUCUGAGCGGAGCACCGUACCGUGCGGUCGUGCAAGCGAGAUUGUGUUGAAAAGAAUAAAGAUUGAUAGUCUGUUGAAA
rnacentral:lncRNA from 1 species